UUUAUCUCUUUUGGUCCGAAAUUUUCUAAAUCUAAAGCUAUGCUUCUUUUUUUUUUAACUUAAAAAUAUUUCUUUUUAAGACUAGACUUGAUAUAUAAAGCUGUUAAUUUGUUCCCAAAGUGAAUGAAUGGGCAUUUUUUUUGUUCUUGGGCUAAGCCCAGAAAACCCUAACCGAACCCGAACCCCAACUCACCCGACCCAAAACCCGAUUCCCAUUGUCUCUGUGCUUCCAUGGCUGCCACAAGCUGACCACGGUGGUUCCCUCUUCCGGCUGAUCAUCGGUUCUGGAUCAAGGUUUGAUGCGGCUGAACAAAUCCGAUAAGGUCUCUCCGCCGCAGAGGAUGAAGGAUAACUCCUCACUACCGUGCUUCGGCGGCUAUCUCCUUCUGCUACACCAGCUCCGUUUCUGGGAUCUUGCUCCCACUGCUAUGUUCGAAGGACCAUUCAUGUUGUCUAAUAUUGUCUAAUUUGAAGUUCCUUGUUGAUCCAGAUAGAAUCUUGCUAUCACUCUUCCUUAUCACUCCAUUUUCUCUAUUGAAGGAUUCAUCUAUACGGUGGUGGCCUCCAAGUAAUUUGCUUCUUGUUUCUCUUCAUUUUUGCUUCUUUUACUUUCUCUUCCUGUUUUAUUGAUUUCCUGAAUUCUGCUUCUUUGAUACUUGCCAUAAUAAUUGUUGCUUUUGGGCUGAUUUGUUGUAGUUCCUAACUUUUCAUAUAGACCAAUUUAUAAAUCCUAAACUGUUUAUCC